AUGGCGGCGGUGAAGACCCUGAACCCCAAGGCUAAGGUGGCCCGGGAGCAGGCAGCGCUGGCGGUUAACAUCACCGCAGCACGGGGCCUGCAGGACGUGCUGAGGACCAACUUGGGGCCUAAGGGCACCAUGAAGAUGCUUGUUUCUGGUGCUGGAGACAUCAAGCUUACUGAAGAUGGGAACGUCCUGCUUCACGAAAUGCAAAUUCAACACCCAACAGCCUCUUUAAUAGCAAAAGUGGCCACUGCCCAGGUUGACAUAACUGGUGAUGGUACUACUUCUAAUGUCCUUAUCAUUGGGGAGCUGCUGAAACAGGCGGCCCUCUACAUCCCUGAGGGUCUUCAUCCCAGAAUAAUAACUGAAGGCUUUGAAGCUGCGAAGGAAAAGGCCCUCCAGUUUUUGGAACAAAUUAAAGCAAACAGAAAUGGACAGAGAAACACUUAUUGAUGUGGCCAGAACACCUCUAUGAACUAAAGUUCAUGCUGAACUUGCAGAUGUCUUAAUAGAGGCUGUAGUGGACUCUACUUUGGCUAUUAAGAAAAAAGAUUAGCCCAUUGACCUCUUUAUGGUUGAAAUCAUGGAGAUGAAGCAUAAGUCUGAAACUGAUACACGCUUAAUCCCAGGGCUAGUUUUGGAUCAUGGAGCACGGCAUCCUGAUAUGAAGAAAACAGUAGAAAAUGCAUACAUCCUCACAUGAAACGUGUCCUUAGAGUAUGAGAAAACAGAAGUGAAUUCUGGGUUUUUUUACAGGAGUGCAGAAGAGAGAGAAAAACUACUAAAAGCUGAACAAAAAUUCAUUGGAGACAGAUUUAAAAAAAAUAAUAGAAUUGAAGAAGAAAGUCUGUGGUGAUUCCGAUAAAGGAUUUGCUGUUAUUAAUCAAAAGGGAAUUGACCCCUUUUCCUUAAAUGCCCUUGCAAAAGAAGGCAUAGUAGCUCUGCGCAGAGAGAAGAGAAAUAUGGAGAGGCUGACUCUUGCUUGUGGUGGGUAGCUCUGAAUUCCUUUGAUGCCCUGAAUCCUGACUGUCUGGGACAUGCAGGACUUGUAUAUGAGUAUACACUGGGAGAAGAGAAGUUCAUCUUCACUGAGAAAUACAACAAUCCCUGUUUUGUCACAUUACUGGUCAAAGGACCAAAUAAGCACACACUGACUCAAAUCAAGGAUGCAAUAAGAGAUGGCUUGAGAGCUGUCAAAAAUGCUAUUGAUGAUGGUUGUGUUGUCCUGGGUACUGGUGCUAUAGAAAUGGCCAUGGCAGAAGCCCUGAUUAAAUACAAGCCCAGUGUGAAGGGCAGGGCUCAACUUGGAGUCCAGGCGUUUGCAGAUGUCUUGCUCAUUAUUCCCAAGGUUCUUGCCCAAAACUCUGGUUUUGACCUUCAGGAAACAUUAGUUAAAGUUCAAGCCGAACAUUCAGAAUCGGGUCAGCUUUUUGGUGUGGAUUUGAACACAGGUGAGCCAAUGGUGGAAGCAGAAGUAGGUGUAUGGGGUAACUAUUGUGUGAAGAAACAGCUUCUUCACUCCUGCACUGUGAUUGCCACCAACAUUCUCCUGGUAGAUGAACUCAUGAGAGCUGGAAUGUCCUCUCUGAAAGGCUGAACUGUCCCUUUUAUCUG